rnacentral:ncRNA from 1 species
AGCUAGUCUAACCUUCGGGAGGACGGUUACCACGGUGUGAUUCAUGACUGGGGUGAAGUCGUAACAAGGUAGCCGUAGGGGAACCUGCGGCUGGAUCACUCCUUAA